rnacentral:rRNA from 1 species
CGCCCUUAGAGUUUGAUCCUCAUCAGAGACGAACGCUGGCGGCGUGCCUAAUACAUGCAAGUCGAGCGGACUUGAUGGAGCUUGCUCCAUCAAGUUAGCGGCGGACGGGUGAGUAACACGUGGGCAACCUGCCUGUAAGACUGGGAUAACUCCGGGAAACCGGAGCUAAUACCGGAUAGUAUCUUGAACCGCAUGGUUCAAGCUGGAAAGACGGUUUCGGCUGUCACUUACAGAUGGGCCCGCGGCGCAUUAGCUAGUUGGUGAGGUAAUGGCUCACCAAGGCAACGAUGCGUAGCCGACCUGAGAGGGUGAUCGGCCACACUGGGACUGAGACACGGCCCAGACUCCUACGGGAGGCAGCAGUAGGGAAUCUUCCGCAAUGGACGAAAGUCUGACGGAGCAACGCCGCGUGAGUGAUGAAGGUUUUCGGAUCGUAAAACUCUGUUGUUAGGGAAGAACAAGUGCGAGAGUAACUGCUCGCACCUUGACGGUACCUAACCAGAAAGCCACGGCUAACUACGUGCCAGCAGCCGCGGUAAUACGUUGGUGGCAAGCGUUGUCCGGAAUUAUUGGGCGUAAAGCGCGCGCAGGCGGUUUCUUAAGUCUGAUGUGAAAGCCCCCGGCUCAACCGGGGAGGGUCAUUGGAAACUGGGAAACUUGAGUGCAGAAGAGGAGAGUGGAAUUCCACGUGUAGCGGUGAAAUGCGUAGAGAUGUGGAGGAACACCAGUGGCGAAGCGACUCUCUGGUCUGUAACUGACGCUGAGGCGCGAAAGCGUGGGGAGCGAAGAGGAUUAGAUACCCUGGUA